CGUUUUUACAACACACAAGAGUAAACAACACCCUGACGCAGCCCCCUCCUUCUCGCCCCCCCCCCUCUCCGGUCCUAAUUUCUUUGUCUUACACUUUCUCUGUCUUGGCGAUCAGCACAGAAAGAGCAGUUACAACCUGUAAACUAGGGUUUUAUGCAUUGUACAUCAUUAUUUAUUCAUAAAACAACGUUAAUUACUCAAAUUCCAUUAGUUAAUCAGCUUCCGCGGCGUGUUUGGCCAAUUUGAAUAGUAAAAUAUCCAAAUGGCCAUCCCGCCACGGAUCACUGAUUAAGCAUUGGGGAAAAGGAAGGUCCAUUGUUUCCAAAUGAAGCACGGAAAUGAAUUCCUCCGCAGUUCAGUUACUACUCGCUCCCAACACUACAUCUCCCCCCAUAUACCCAAACCCCCAUUCUCAUAUACCCAAACACCCAUUCUCAUAUACCCAAGCCGCCAUUCUCAUAUACCAAACCCCCCCUGCUCCAAUACCCUACAACCCCGCCGAUUCGAAUGUGCCACACAGAAAAACCAAACUAUAAUCUAU